AGCAGUCGCCGCGGUAAUACGAAGGGGGCUAGCGUUGUUCGGAUUUACUGGGCGUAAAGCGCACGUAGGCGGACUUUUAAGUCAGGGGUGAAAUCCCGGGGCUCAACCCCGGAACUGCCUUUGAUACUGGAAGUCUUGAGUAUGGUAGAGGUGAGUGGAAUUCCGAGUGUAGAGGUGAAAUUCGUAGAUAUUCGGAGGAACACCAGUGGCGAAGGCGGCUCACUGGACCAUUACUGACGCUGAGGUGCGAAAGCGUGGGGAGCAAACAGGAUUAGAUACCCCCGUAUCCCUGUCUCUUAUACA
rnacentral:rRNA from 1 species